rnacentral:tRNA from 1 species
GCCUAGUUAGCUUAGUUGGUAGUGCGUCGCCUUGUAAGCGCUAGGCCGCGGGUUCGAUUCCCGCCCGGGGCG